rnacentral:lncRNA from 1 species
GGUUUUGGUUUUCGCCAUUCCACUUCUCCUGAUCUUAUUCCAUUUGGUAUUUCAGAUCAAGCGGGCACAAUCAGAGCGUUUACACAGAAGCCAUGUCCAUCCAGAGUCUAUCAAAAACUAAUGCGAAA